GGUUGAUCCUGCCAGUAGUCAUAUGCUUGUCUCAAAGAUUAAGCCAUGCAUGUCUAAGUAUAAACAAAUUCUAUACUGUGAAACUGCGAAUGGCUCAUUAAAUCAGUUAUGAUCUACAUGACAAUUCAUUACUACUUGGAUAACCGUGGUAAUUCUAGAGCUAAUACAUGCAACAAAAGCCUCGACUUCGGAAGGGGUGCACUUAUUAGGUAAAAGCCAACCUGGUGUUAAAGCCAGUUUUUUGGUGAUUCAUAAUAAUUCAAUGCUGAUCGCAUGGCCUUGUGCUGGCGACG
rnacentral:rRNA from 1 species